GACGAACGCUGGCGGCGUGCUUAACACAUGCAAGUCGUACGGUAAGGCCCUUUCGGGGGUACACGAGUGGCGAACGGUUGAGUAACACGUGAGUAACCUGCCCACAACUUUGUUAUAACGCGGGGAAACUGGGGCUAAUACUGGAUAUGUGCUCCUCCUGCAUGGGGGGGGUUGGAAAGCUCCGGCGGGUGUGGAUGGAUUCGCGGCCUAUCAGCUGGUUGGUGGGGUAGUGGGCUACCAAGGCGGCAACGGGUAGCGGGACUGAGAGGGUGACCGGCCACACUGGGACCGAGAGAAGGCACAGACGCCGAAGGGAGGAAGAAGGGGGGAAUACUGAUCAAUGGGCGCAAGCCUGAUGAAGAAACGCCGCGGGUGGGAUGACCGUCUUGGGGUUGAAAAAAGCCUUCAGCAGGGAAGACGCUUUUUGUGACGGUACCUGAAGAAGAAGCACCGGCUAACUACGUG
rnacentral:rRNA from 1 species